CACGUAGGGCGCAAGCGUUGUCCGGAAUUAUUGGGCGUAAAGAGCUCGUAGGUGGUUUGUUACGUCUGCUGUGAAAACCUAGGGCUUAACCCUGGGCUUGCAGUGGAUACGGGCAGACUAGAGGUAGGUAGGGGAGAAUGGAAUUCCUGGUGUAGCAGUGAAAUGCGCAGAUAUCAGGAGGAACACCGGUGGCGAAGGCGGUUCUCUGGGCCUUACCUGACACUGAGGAGCGAAAGCGUGGGGAGCGAACAGA
rnacentral:rRNA from 1 species